AAGAAAAUUCCAUGAAAAGCAUCAUUCACAUUGAGACUAUAGAUCAAAUUAUCUGUAUGGCAACUGCUAUCCUCAGUAAUCUUGGGUCAUGAUUAUGGAGGUUUGACUGGCAAAUUCACUUUUUACUGGUUUAUUCUCAUUCCUCAUACUGCAUCACACUACCGCUGCUUUUUGAAGAAUUAUCAUAAGGCAAUGCAGAAUAAAAGAAAGAUCAUGAUUCACUGAAUUCCGUGUUUCAUGAUACUUACCUUCCUAAUUAUCAUUUGAUUAGAUACUUGUAAUUUAAACUGUUAAGCUGUUUUCACUGCUGUUUCUGAGUAAUAGAAAUUCAUUCUUCUCCAAAAGCAAUAAAUUUCAAGCACAUUA